ensembl:misc_RNA
CUGGCAGUUCUGAAAACUGUAGUCCCUCUAUUUAUCGACAGCCUGAUUUCCAUGCAGGCUGCUGGAGUGGAAGCUUCCCUACACUGCCCUGCCAAUGCUUUCAACCCUGACCUAAAGAGACCCUCUCUAGAAGCAAGAAAUAAUUAAUUCUUUAUGCUUGUUUGGCCCUGGAUUUAU